rnacentral:lncRNA from 1 species
UUUCCAGCAAUGGCAGAUUGCGCUGCAAAAGUAAUGUAGUGUUCUUUGUCAAAUUCAGGAUCACCCAUUGCCCAUCUCGCUGCUGUUCAGCCCUCGCCGAAGGAGCCUGCCUACGUGGUGAGCACCUUGCUCGCAGAUAUAGUGUGCAUAGAGCUCAGGCGCCACCAUCUGGUAGACUUUCUUGCAUACCAGGGAGGUGAAAUGAGGUGAAGUGCUGCAGACAUAGCUUGAUGGCUUCAACCACACUGACCCACACCGCUUCAUCUCCCCUGACGAGCUCCAUCAGAGUGAGAAGGAGGAUGGCGAGCACCUCAUCAUCGUUUCCACGACCCGCCUCACCCCCAACCAGCUCACUUGGCAAGCUGGUCAACGAUGCCAUUUUGGCAUGCCCAACCUUCCCUGGUGUGCGGCUGCCAAGCGAGGAGCUGCUGACAUCAUGGCAAUUUGAGCAACAGCUGGGAGCUCUGAUCAAAGUGCUGCCCCCGCGCUGCUGGCAAUCCCUGAAGUGCCCCUGGCAAAGACGCUUGGGUCUGUGAUUUGCGGUGAGGUGCCCAAAUGGUGAUGAGUGGUGCCUGUCAGGAUGUUUCAGGAGAUAUUUUCUAGAUGCUAGUAUCUACGAAUGAUAUUAAUGUGGUUUGGGCGGUGCAAAGUACCUCGACUACCUCAAGAUAAGGGAUUUCAAGGUACAAACGGCAGACUCUGAGUCCCUACAACGGCUGAAGGCACGUAGAAUCAUGCAUGUCUUGUAUCUCUUCAUUACUCUGCAGAAUAUGCUUGCAGAUGCGCCAGGGCGCGCCAGGGUGGAUUCAGGGGCGCAUUGGAGGAUUGCACCCACAAGCGAUGAUGAGAGUCUUGUAUGAUGGAUGCAUAUUCAAAAUCCUUGUCGAAGGAUUGGCCAUGGAGCUGCUCUCAGAAGCGAUAAACUUUCGGUAACUAAGGUUUUUCACAACCGCAAGGAUGAGAUGGCUAUUGACUGGGGAGCGCCAUCAUCUUGUCUGCAUCCGGCGGGGAAGCAAUCCACAAGGAGCUGAAGGCGGCCUGGCGCCACACGAACAAACAAAGCGAGUCAGCUAUCGACCAG